rnacentral:piRNA from 1 species
UCCUUGGAUACAGUCCUGAGGCAUAGUAGUA